AAAAUGACUCUCGGCAACGGAUAUCUAGGCUCUCGCAUCGAUGAAUAACGUAGCGAAAUGCGAUACUUGGUGUGAAUUGCAGAAUCCCGUGAACCAUCGAGUUUUUGAACGCAAGUUGCGCCCGAAGCCAUUAGGCUGAGGCCACGUCUGCCUGGGCGUCA
rnacentral:rRNA from 1 species